UAGACACCUAUAAAGACAAUCAAAAGAAUGUCUGAAUCGGUCUGAGCUCCGAACACCUGCUAUCACCGGUCAGCAGCUCGUCCCUCAUGGUCCAGCACUAUCACUCUACAUAAGUGAAAUAAACGGAGUGAGCUAAAACCCCAAAAAGUAGAUCACUGCCAUUGCAUUCCUAACUAUCAGUAUAUACAUAAUAACAUGCUUAAGGUUUAAUAGAAAUAACAUUUGUCUCACAGAGUAUGGACGCAUAUCAGACUGCAUAUAAAUGUUGUAUGGUAAAACUCAUGUAAUAGAGCAUCACUUAUUCCCAAGACAACAUCAAUCUUCAUGCAUAUCAUAGUCACAGUCAGAUGUUCUUACAGAAUACAGAAUUCAGACAGGCAAAAUAGAUUAAAUUUUUCCCGAAGUAGAAGCCACUUCGGUCAGGCUAAGCCAAUCUUGAACCUGGGACUUCUACCCUCAUUUAAGAUGGAUGACAAUGAUAAGUGGGUGUACCACUUCAAAAUGCCCUCACUUACGCACACAAUUCCCAACGCGCUUUGCGGUUUUCGAUAAGCUGCGGCCUUACAAGAUACACCCUCUCCUUAUGCCUUUAGGAGAGAGGGCAUUACUGUCACGACGCCGUCCCCUGACCCCAACCAUCCCAUACCGGAGGUGACAGAGUGCAGGAUUGCGAUUAGAGGUCGCGUACGUCACUCAGGUGGGAGUGGCAUCAACACGUGUUAAAAGUGCAGAAUCAAAGCGAACCAUGAUAAAUAAAUAAACUCAACCAUCAAGUAGUAAAACCUGAAUAAAUUUGAACCAUUAAUUUCUUCAUUCAGCUCCACAAGUUCUUACAAUAAAGUGUAAGGCUUAAAAGCCUAACAUCCAACCCAAAAAUACAUCAAACAUAAAUACACAUAGCAACGCCUUUAGACACCUACAAAGACAUUCAAAAGGAGGUCUUAGCCGAUUUGAGCUCUAAACACCUACUAUAACCGGUCAGCAGCUCGUCUCCCACGGUCAAGCACUAUCACUCUACACAGGUGAAAUAAACAGAGUGAGCUAAAAUCCUAGUAAAUAGAUCACUGCCCCUACAUUCCUGACUAUCAGUAUAUACAUAAUAACAUGCUUAAGGUUUAACAUAAAUAACAUUUUUCUCACAGAGUAUGGACAAAUAUCAGAGUGCAUAUAAAUGCUGUAUGGUAAAACUCAGGUAAAAGAGCAUCACUUAUUCCUCAGAUAACAUCAAUCUUCAUGCAUAUCAUAGUCACAGUUAGAUGUUCUUAUAGAAUACAGAAUUCAGACAGGCAGAACAGAUUAAAUUGCUCUUGAAGUAGAAGGCACAUCGGUCAGCCUAAGUCGAUCCUAAACUUGGGACUUCUACCCUCAUUCAGAAGAGAGGACAAUGACAAGUGGGUAUCCCACUUUGUAAUGCCCUCACUCACGCAUGAAAUCCCUAGCACACUUUGGGGUUUUUGAUAGGCCGUAGCCUUGCAAGACAUGACCCUCUCCUUAUGCCUUUAGGUGGGAGGGCGUUACACUACCAUUGGAGGACCGGAUGCGUAGUGCCUAUGACAAUUGGGGGGUGUGACCCUCCCUGUUAAUUACAAUCACCUCUUGACUCUACUCCUAUCGAGGUAUGGUAUAUUCCAUUACCAAUGGAGGACCCAUUGCAUAGUGGUCAUCUAUCAGAAUCAAAGUACGCAGACUCAGACAGUACACUAGCAAUGGAGGACCCAUUACGUAGCGGUCAGAUAUCAGAAUUCAUGUAACAUAAUCAGAUAGCUCAGUACCAAUGGAGGACCAAUUGCGUAGCGGUCAGAUAUCAAAAUUCAUAUAACAGAAUCAGACAGUGCACUACCAAUGGAGGACCCAUUGUGUAGUAUUCAUAGAACAAAAUCAAAUAGUAUUAGUAUAACAGAAAUCACAGUAUUCAUAUAACAGAAUCGGACAAUGCACUACCAAUGGGGGACCCAUUGCGUAGUGUUCAUAUAAGAGAAUUAGGCAGUAUCGAUAUCACAUAAUGGCCAGGUUAAUAUCACAGAAUAGCAAUUUCAGUAGCACAGAGCAACAAUAUCAGUAUCAUGGAGUGACAAUAUCAGUAUCACGUAGUGACAGUAUCAGUAUCAUGGAGUAACAGUAUCAGUGUCUUAUGAUAACAUUUCCUUUAAUUUCAGACAGUGAUAUCCUCUCAAAACAGGACCAUAACUCUUGAUUCGUUUGGAAUUUAAAGUUAGUUCCAAAAACAAUUUUAUACUAGACACAUCUAUCUUUCAAAUAGAUGUGGUUUGAAAGCAAUUGGACCUUAUUUUCCCUUCAAAAGUGCCCAAGAGCAGAGACUCUUCCUCUGAAAUCUGUUGUGCAGUAAAGACAGUUACAUGUCUUUGCAAUUUUGUCCAUAACUCAAAAUCAAGAGGAAAUUUCAGAAAGUGCUCAACAUGUGAAGUGAAGCUAACUCAUAAACCAUUCAAAUGGAAGUAUUUUGGAGUAAAAUGGAUACAUUUUGGUUUGUCAAACUCAUUGACAUCAGAGGCAUUAAAUCUAUGAUUUUACCAAAACUGUCUACAGUAACAUAUUUUGGUAAAAUGGUAAAUAACAUUCAAUCUAAGAGGAAUUUCAAAAUGUUUUCUACAUGAAAAUUUUAAUCCAGUCAGAUAUAUUUCAAAAGGCUGUGAUUUAACAGAAAAUGGAUUUCGUUUGGUUGGUGAAAACCAAUGAUCAUAGUAGGGUUGGUGCAAAAUCCAGAAAACAGUCAAACAGUGACCUACCCGUACAUUUCGAAACAUAUCUUCAUUUUUGUAAGGAAUUACGACAGGGGCUAAAAGCAAACAUUUAGUAGACUUGUAUAUUUUUCUAAUUAUAGUAAUUUCGUGUCAUUUGGACUUCAAUAAAUCAGACAAAGUCUCUGUACGGCUGAAGCAACAUAUUUUGAAAUUAUAACAGUAAGCUAACAGUGACAUACAUGCACAAAAAGAGGCACAUCUCCCCAUAUAUUAAAGAAUCUCAACUGGGAAUAAACAUAUAAUUAAAAGUAGACUUAGAGAUCUUUCUAAUGGUGGUAAUUUCAGGCAAUUCUAAGUUCAUUUGAUAGGCCAACAUUGAGUCACAAAUCCCUCAAUUCUCCCUAGAAUUUUACAGUCCAGUCAUAACAUGCUUCAAAAAUCAAAGUAUAACUCCUAAACUACACAAGAUAACCACAUGAAACCAUUUCUAACUUAAACUAAACUCACAAGAUCAUCAACCCACCAAUUUUAGGCUCAAUUGAAAUUACAACAAUGAAUGGCAUAUCUUACAAACAAGCUCACUUUCUAGAAAACAGAAUACCACAUGCAUGCUUAACUUUUUACUUUGUUUCAUGGAAUCUCAUGCCCAAAUUUCAUAUUUUCCAUUUCAUGCUGUUACAAUUUCAUACAAGGGGGUAGUAAUCCACUUACUUUAACAACAAAAGUGCCCUCUAAUCCUUCCUUCCACAGUCUUCUUAACUUCAACAAGGGCUGUCCCAACCGUGAGCCAAAGGGCUUCUUGCAAGCUCUACCCAAAGUUGUCUUAGAGAUAGUGAGAGGGACAUGGAGGGCUGAGAGAGAUGAGGAUGUGGG
rnacentral:lncRNA from 1 species